GUCGUUAGACCGUAGGGGUAGCGGGGCAGACUGUAAAUCUGCUGGCUCGAAAGGGCUUCGGGUAGUUCGACUCUAUCACGGCA
rnacentral:tRNA from 1 species